GUCAAAAGAUUUCGCGUUGGGAGUGGGAAAUUGAGAUAAAACUAAAUAUAUUUACGUUAACAUAUUAUACCUAGUUAUAUUGUAAUGAUUUUCAUUUUGUUUGUUCUUGGAAGUUUAUACUUUCCCUGUGUUACAAGAUCAGAAUACUCUAAUCAUACAUUUAAAAAUACAAUUGUUUGUCGUUCUUGUGGUAAUAAUAUUACUAGUACCGAAGCAAUAACAUCUAAGCGUAGUUCAGAAUCUAGUCAUUCAUUUGAGGAUUCUGUUUUUAAUAGAGAUAAUGUUUUAAUUCAGCUAUUGUCAAAAGAUAACUUUGAAUUCCACGUCAUAACCACUUUAAAAGCUACGUGUGAAGAUUUCGGAGAGUGGCAAGAAGAGGAGUUGUGGUAUCCUGGAUAUCAGUGGAAGCCUUGUAUUUGCCCCGAGUGUGGUACAUUUGUUGGUUGGGUCUUUAAGAGCUCUGAUAUAGUAUUAUUCAAACCGAGAACAUUCUAUGUUCUUAUUAUGUCCAGCCUAAUAAGUGAUA